AAUAGAUACCCCGGUAGUCCACGCCGUAAACGAUGAGUGCUAAGUGUUGGGGGGUUUCCGCCCCUUAGUGCUGCAGCUAACGCAUUAAGCACUCCGCCUGGGGAGUACGGUCGCAAGACUGAAACUCAAAGGAAUUGACGGGGGCCCGCACAAGCGGUGGAGCAUGUGGUUUAAUUCGAAGCAACGCGAAGAACCUUACCAGGUCUUGACAUCCCAUUGACCACUAUGGAGACAUAGUUUUCCCUUCGGGGACAACGGUGACAGGUGGUGCAUGGUUGUCGUCAGCUCGUGUCGUGAGAUGUUGGGUUAAGUCCCGCAACGAGCGCAACCCUUGUUCUUAGUUGCCAUCAUUUAGUUGGGCACUCUAAGGAGACUGCCGGUGACAAACCGGAGGAAGGUGGGGAUGACGUCAAAUCAUCAUGCCCCUUAUGACCUGGGCUACACACGUGCUACAAUGGACGGUACAAACGGUUGCCAACCCGCGAGGGGAGCUAAUCCGAUAAAACCGUUCUCAGUUCGGAUUGUAGGCUGCAACUCGCCUACA
rnacentral:rRNA from 1 species